GGGUCAGUAGGUUGGUCGUGCCACCGGUACGUACUGGUCUCACUGAUUCCUCCUUCCUGAAGAACCGUAAUGCCAUUAAUUUGGUGUUGCGGGGAAACAGGACUGUUACUUUGAAAAAAUUAGAGUGUUUAAAGCAAGCUAAGGCUUGAAUACAUUGGCAUGGAAUAAUGAAAUAGGACGAUCGAUCCUAUUUUGUUGGUUUCUAGGAUUGACGUA
rnacentral:rRNA from 1 species